rnacentral:rRNA from 1 species
UACGUAGGGGGCUAGCGUUGUCCGGAAUCAUUGGGCGUAAAGAGCGUGUAGGCGGCCCGGUAAGUCCGCUGUAAAAGUCAAAGGCUCAACCUUUGAAUGUCAGUGGAUACUGCCGGGCUAGAGUCCGGAAGAGGCGAGUGGAACUCCUGGUGUAGCGGUGGAAUGCGCAGAUAUCAGGAGGAACACCGAUGGCGAAGGCAGCUCGCUGGGACGGUACUGACGCUGAGACGCGAAAGCGUGGGGAGCAAACAGG